ensembl:snRNA LOC120094868 U6 spliceosomal RNA
GUGCUCGCUUCGGCAGCACAUAUACUAAAAUUGGAACGAUGCAGAGAAAUUUUCAUGGAUGACAUGAAAAUUCGUGAAGCGUUCCAUAUUUUU